AUGAAAAUUACAGAUGCUGUUGUUGCUGCUCGCAUAUUGAAUGCUACUCUUGUUGUUCCUAUGCUGGACACACGUUCAUUUUGGAAGGAUUCUAGUAACUUCUCUCAGAUAUUUGAUGUUGAUUGGUUCAUAUCUUACUUAGCUAAUGAUGUUAAAAUCAUAAAAGAAUUACCACUUAAGGAAGGGGAGACAUGGGAUCCAUACCACAUGCGCGUUCCAAGAAAGUGUACCGAGAGUUGCUAUGUAGAUCGUGUUCUACCCCAACUUCUUAAAAGACAUGCUGUUCUGCUCACCAAGUUUGACUACAGACUCUCUAAUAGGUUGGAGACAGAUUUGCAGAAACUCAGAUGCAGAGUAAAUUACCACGCCUUGAAGUACACUGAUCCUAUAAUUCAAAUGGGUGAGAAAUUGGUCAUGAGAAUGAGGUCUAUGAACACACAUUACAUUGCCCUUCACCAGAGGUUUGAACCUGAUAUGCUUGCAUUCUCAGGUUGCUACUAUGGUGGAGGAGAGAGGGAGAGAAAUGAACUGGGCAAAAUACGUAGAAGGUGGAAAACAUUGCACAUUAGAGACCCAGAUAAGGUCAGAAGGCUAGGGAGAUGCCCACUUACUCCUGAAGAAGUAGGUCUGAUGUUGAGAGCACUGGGUUACGGUAAAGAUGUUCAUGUUUCAUUCAAAAUACACCAUAACCAGCAAGGAAGAGUUGGAACCAUUUGCUCCGUUCUCUUCUCGCAUGGCUGCACUGGAUUAUAUAGUAUGUGAUGAAAGCAACGUAUUCGUUACCAAUAACAAUGGCAAUAUGGCUAAAAUUUUAGCUGGAAGGAGGCGAUAUUUUGGGCAUAAACCUACCAUUCGUCCGAAUAACAAAAAACUCUCCAUGUUGUUUAUGAACCGUGAGAACAUGACUUGGGAUGAAUUUGCUUCUGGAGUUCGUAAGCGUCAAAAGGGAUUUAUGGGGGAACCCAAGGAACUGAGUCCAGGCAAGGGCGAGUUUCAUGAGAACCCUUCUACCUGUAUAUGUGAAGAUAUUACGGGCAAAGAAGUGGCUGAGUCAAAUCUGCGUAAAUUUGGCAUGGGUAAAAGCUCAACAUGGGCAGAUUUGAAUGCCACAGUUGAUGACGAAAGUAAUGACAAUGAGACAGAUCUGCCUGAUCAGGAAGAAGUAGAAGAUGAUACCAGUGGCUCUCAAGAAAAUAGUCAGUUAAACAAAACACAGACUGAUAUUAAUGCUUCCACAGUUGCAGAGCCAGAGUUGGAACAUAUGCUUUCAGAUUAAUCAUUGAGCUUAUAAUGUCCUCAAGCAUUGAGCUUUAGUAAAGCCUAGACAACCAUACUUCAUCUGAUACAACAAACCAAAGCAAUGUAUCUACAAGGAAAUUUACUCCUCAACUUGUCAAUUUGCGCAUAAGAUACCAUUUGUGCUCACCACAGUAACAAUACUUGCACUUGCUUCCAUCAGAUUAUUAAUUUAGAAAGCUAUAGACUUAAUAAACAUCUUAUGCAAGAGUGCUAGGCAGAUUAGAGAUGCAAGAAGGGGAAGGACUGUAAAGGAAGACAAGGAAGAGAAAGGGAACAUGACAACGAUGGAGAACAUCAGUUCGACAAGUGGGAAACUUGUAUUUUAUACUAUGGUUAAGAAACCAAGGCUAAGAAAAAAAAAAAAACUCUUCAAAUGCAAAAGUAUACCUACUUCUAAAUUAGCUCCAUCAGCUUAAUGAUUUUUUUCCCUGAUGAUGAUGAUAUUUAGCAAAGGAGAUAUGCCAUUAGUUAACUUGCUGUUGGAAACAAUAAGCAUGUAAAGUCGGAUCUUAGGUUUUAACAUUAAUUAUUUUUUUGACAAUGUGCCUUUAGACACCAGUUGUUGCUGAAGAGAUGUUUCAAGCUGGGGAGAAGAGAUCAACAAGCUGAGGAGUAAGAAAUGUGCCUUGUUGACGUGAUAUAUUGUGAGCAGCGGAGAAAGGAUCGACAGGCUGAGAGUCUUCAAUCUUUCCACUUUCGAGGGGUGUGUCUGCUUUGUAAGCAACUCUCAGUGCUUCAUCUUCUGAUAACUUGACCUGUGAUGUACCGUAGUUUAGGUCUUCCUUGCUCUUUGCCGUGGAACUAUCUCUAUACCUCUUUCACAACAACUUCUGCUAUACAGCUACCCAACUACAAGUCUCGGACUAGUUGGAAUCUACUACAUGCUUUGGAUGUAUCAUAUCUGUUUGUAUAACUUUAGCUUUUUACUUGUACACAAAUAUUUGUUAUGAUGUUAUUUGAUGAAAUUAUGGUAUUGCGGAUUCAUUAACUAUGAUAUU